UACGGAGGGUGCAAACGUUGCUCGGAAUCAUUGGGCGUAAAGCGCACGUAGGCGGCCUGUUAAGUCGGGUGUGAAAGCCCUGGGCUCAACCCAGGAAGUGCACUCGAAACUGGCGGGCUUGAAUAUGGAAGAGGGUCGCGGAAUUCCCGGUGUAGAGGUGAAAUUCGUAGAUAUCGGGAGGAACACCAGUGGCGAAGGCGGCGACCUGGGCCAAUAUUGACGCUGAGGAGCGAAAGCGUGGAGAGCGAACAGG
rnacentral:rRNA from 1 species